CACGUAGGGUGCGAGCGUUGUCCGGAAUUAUUGGGCAUAAAGAGCUCGUAGGCGGUUUGUCGCGUCUGCUGUGAAAACCUAAGGCUCAACCUUGGGCUUGCAGUGGGUACGGGCAGACUAGAGUGCGGUAGGGGUGACUGGAAUUCCUGGUGUAGCGGUGAAAUGCGCAGAUAUCAGGAGGAACACCGAUGGCGAAGGCAGGUCUCUGGGCAUUAACUGACGCUGAGGAGCGAAAGCAUGGGGAGCGAACAGG
rnacentral:rRNA from 1 species